UAGCUAGUUGGUGGGGUAAGGGCCUACCAAGGCGACGAUCGGUAGCUGGUCUGAGAGGAUGACCAGCCACACUGGAACUGAGACACGGUCCAGACUCCUACGGGAGGCAGCAGUGGGGAAUAUUGGACAAUGGGGGAAACCCUGAUCCAGCAAUGCCGCGUGUGUGAAGAAGGCCUGAGGGUUGUAAAGCACUUUCAGUGGGGAGGAGGUAUAUUUGGUUAAGAGCUGGAUGUAUGGACGUUACCCACAGAAGAAGCACCGGCUAACUCCGUGCCAGCAGCCGCGGUAAUACGGAGGGUGCGAGCGUUAAUCGGAAUUACUGGGCGUAAAGCGUGCGUAGGUGGUUGAAUAAGUUAUCUGUGAAAUCCCUGGGCUUAACCUGGGCAGGUCAGAUGAUACUGUUUGACUCGAGUAUGGGAGAGGGUAGUGGAAUUUCCGGUGUAGCGGUGAAAUGCGUAGAGAUCGGAAGGAACACCAGUGGCGAAGGCGGCUACCUGGCCUAAUACUGACACUGAGGCACGAAAGCGUGGGGAGCAAACAGGAUUAGAUACCCUGGUAGUCCACGCUGUAAACGAUGUCAACUAGCUGUUGGUUAUAUGAAUAUAAUUAGUGGCGC
rnacentral:rRNA from 1 species